rnacentral:lncRNA from 1 species
AAAUAGAGUCAUAAGAAUUAACCUAGAACACAACAAUACCAUACACCUUAGAUGUCAUUCACCCAGAAUAUGUACAAAUCAUAAUAGUUCAAAUUUAAAUACAAUGAUAAAAGUUCACCCUAGAAUAUACAACGAAUUAGACAAUAAAACACAAUGUAAUGCAGAAACACAGCCUAAUCAUAAACAUAUGAGUCGAUACUAUGCUUAAAGCUCCAUAUUCCAUUUCAUACUUCAUAUUCAGUAGAGUCCAGGAAUAUGUACCUGGAUGUCAACAGAAACAAAGGAAAUGAAAAGAAAACUCAGUAGUAGCAGAAUCAGCUUAAAGUCCGAGCAAUUCCAAAAAAAAGACAACUUCUUCAAACCAGUAGAGAACCAAAAUAAACACCCAUCUUUGAAGACUCAAAUACUCUGAUCAAUUAGAAAGUUUUAAAGUAGAAUUGAACCAAUUUUGACCAAACAAAUGCAGGAAUUUCAGUGUUCUUUCAAAGCUUUUCAAACUCAGCCAUUUUUUAAUUUUUAGUUUUCUUCAAUCCCUCCAAUUCUGACUUGAUAGUGAAGAAACAAAGACCUUUACAGAGAGCAAUUA